GGCGCUUGCAAAGCACGGACCGGAGCGGAGGUUCCCCUUUGCUCCUGUAGUAAUGAAGCAGGAAGGCGAGCAGCCUUCGUUUCCAGAGGCGCUGGGAAAAGGGGAGUGGGGACCUGCCAGAAACGAGAGAGAGAGACGUCAAGAGAGAGAGAUUCCCGGAAAAAGUGCAAGAACGUAGUAUAGUCCGUAAUAUACAGAGAGGUGCAGCGUGGACAGUCACAGCACAAGUUUCCCCACACCAGCCUGCCAACAUGUCUCAGCAGUGAUCUAGUCUCCAUACACAUUCAGUCCCUGGCAUCCUUGCUGAGGCUGCUACCUAGGGAGUGGUGUUGUGCCAACGACGCUGGUGGUUUCUGUGAUAUGGAGACCUGCCCACUAGGAACAUGACCAAGACAACCACAUUACAUCAUGCACCAAACAGCCACAGACAGCCAUCGUAUUGUAGGAUUUAGGUUUUAAAUAAUGCCACUGACAUUAUAGGUUUGAUCACUACCAAAUUAGGCCAGAUUCAGAAGACCUAGACGUGAAGGGCUUCCUACUGCAUUAUUAAUUCCAUUGGACAUCUAGAUUCUAACAGGAGUUAAAUGAAACUAAAAUAUAGGAAAAUGAAUGCAGGAACGUAGAACUUCAGUAGCAUACUUUUUUUUUUUUUAAAGAAAAGGAAGGUUUGUGUGAAUUUAAAUGUGCAAAAACAAUGAAGAGAAAGGUCACAGAAAGGAAAUGGAAAAUGUAUAGACAUAAAGUAAUGCAUUUCCCAAG